AUGAAUGGUCAAUUUGAUGAACUACGUAAAGAAAAUGUUCAGUUGAAGUCUCAAAUGGCAGAUAUGAAAAAUACAGUUGACGAGUGGAAGAAAAGCCAAGUUCAAAUUUCGGCAACAUUUGACGGAACACCAACUACACCCAUUGUUUCUCCCUCGAUUGUGAACAUCAGUCAGAAUAUCAAGUGCAAGUUGCUAGAUUGGAUGGGGACGGGAGACAUAGUUGCUGAGGGGCGUUGGUCUUCAAGUGAUCCAAAUGAAAGAUGUCAUUGUGUUCUGAUCGGACCUAACUCAAUGAAAGUUUGGGUGGAUGUAGCAAAGUGUUUCUUUGGAGGCCUACAAGUGAUCUGACCUAUGUCGUUGAUGCUGUACUACCAUCGCGUGGCCUGCUAGUCAAGUUAUUAUGGACUCUUCGCCGGGGUCGAUUGGUUGAAAGAGAAGAUCAAUAUUUCAUCACUUUUUGCUCGAGAUGGAGAUUAUGAUCUUCCUAGUGUUGGACGUUGGAUCUCAAUUGAAGUUUUUGCAUUGAUAUCUCCUGUUUUUUUGUAGAGCCUCAAUACUCCUUUUUUGUAUGAAGACAUAGCUGGGGUGCUC